ACCAGUUUCUUCUUUCUUCUUCGUUCCGCAACCCGGCGGAUAAUCUCGAACAGCAGAGAUUAUUUUUCUUGGAGGAUAUCGAUGCGGUUGGUGUUGUAUAUUAUCACGAGAGGACGAGACCACGGAUGAACGACGAGACCACGGAGGAAGAACACGACCACACUGCUGAGUAUUAUGAGUCGAUGAGAUUCUGCGGCGAGUCCACGGUGGAAGGCGAGGGCGUGAAGGGUUUUCUUUUCGAGCCGAAAGUUGCGAGUUCGAAUUCGGAUUUGCAGUAAUUUGAGAGCAACUUCGAAACAAACUUGAUGGUGCAGAUCAGAGAGAGAGAGAUGAAUCGUCGAAAGGAUAUGAUAGGAAAUUUAAGAUCGAAAGUGAAGCACGGCUUCAACAUUGAUGUCCUAGUCUUCCAACCGAGAUAGCUUGAUGGGGCCAGAAAUAA
rnacentral:sRNA from 1 species